rnacentral:rRNA from 1 species
CUACGGGAGGCAGCCGUUAAGAAUCUUGCACAAUGGGGGCAACCCUGAUGCAGCGACGCCGCGUGCAUGAUGAAGGCCUUCGGGUUGUAAAGUUCGGUAAGCAGGGAAGAAUAAGCAACGGGUAAUAUUCGUUGUGAUGACGGUACCUGCCUAAAGCCCCGGCUAACUACGUGCCAGCAGCCGCGGUAAUACGUAUGGGGCAAGCGUUGUUCGGAAUUAUUGGGCGUAAAGGGCGUCUAGGCGGGGGAUUAAGUUAGAUGUGAAAGCCAUGGGCUCAACUCGUGAAUUGCAUCUAAGACUGGUUCUCUUGAGUUCGGGAGAGGAGAGCGGAAUUCCAGGUGUAGCGGUGAAAUGCGUAGAUAUCUGGAAGAACACCAGUGGCGAAGGCGGCUCUCUGGCCUAGGACUGACGCUGAAGCGCGAAAGCGUGGGAGCGAACA